GCUUUGCUGGUCUAGUGGUAUGAUUCGUGCUUUGGGUAUCUACUCAUUGAUUUGCACGAGGUCCCCGGUUCGAUCCCGGGGCAAAGCC